GAUGAUUCUGAAGUUGCUCCCAAAAUAUCAGGAUGCUCAACCCCUCGUCUAUUGGCCAAUGGACCUCUGGAAGAGAUAAGUUCGAUUUCAUUGAUUGCAGAGGGAAUGGUUGUAAAAAAUUCAGAUACGAUCCGUGCAAUAUUACCAACGCAGUGGCACGUUUGCUUGCAGGGUACUACGUUUUAACAUGCAGUACCCAAAAGGGGCCAACAGGUCAUAGUAAGAACAUUUACAUGUUUUAGUAAUUUAGAACAUUUUCUUUUGGCCAAUAAUUGCCAUACCGGUACUUUACCAAUUGACGUGGAGAAAUAGCCCAUGAUUGUGAGAGUUAUGACCCUCACAAUCAUGGGCUAUUUCUGUGAGUGUUUCUAUAUAGUAUAACUCUAAACUAUAUAUAGCUUACAAGCUUACAAUUAUAUAAUUAUAUAGCUUACAAGCUUACAAUUUUGUGAGAUAACCAUUGUUUCUUCUAUAUAUGAAGAGCUUUUUACUUUCACAAAAUAAUAUGAUGACCGCAUGCCAUCAAACUCUGCUCCACUUCCACUUUACUGUUUUGCAAUUGUCGCACACUGGAAC